UACGUAGGGUGCGAGCGUUAAUCGGAAUUACUGGGCGUAAAGCGUGCGCAGGCGGUCUCGUAAGCUGGGUGUGAAAGCCCCGGGCUUAACCUGGGAACUGCGCUUGAAACUACGAGGCUCGAGUGUGGCAGAGGGAGGUGGAAUUCCACGUGUAGCGGUGAAAUGCGUAGAGAUGUGGAGGAACACCGAUGGCGAAGGCAGCCUCCUGGGCCAACACUGACGCUCAUGCACGAAAGCGUGGGGAGCAAACAGG
rnacentral:rRNA from 1 species